AAUAGAUACCCCGUAGUCAUGCCGUAAACGGUUGGGAACGUAGAUGUACGGGCCUGUUCCACGGGUUCUGUGUCGUAGCUAACGGCAUUAAGUUCCCCGCCUGGGGAGUACGGCCGCAAGGCUAAAACUCAAAGGAAUUGACGGGGGCCCGCACAAGCGGCGGAGCAUGCGGAUUAAUUCGAUGCAACGCGAAGAACCUUACCAAGGCUUGACAUAUAGAAGAACGGGUCAGAAAUGAUCAACUCUUUUGGACACUUCUAUACAGGUGGUGCAUGGUUGUCGUCAGCUCGUGUCGUGAGAUGUUCGGUUAAGUCCGGCAACGAGCGCAACCCUCGUCCUAUGUUGCCAGCACGUCAUGGUGGGAACUCAUGGGAUACUGCCGUGGUCAACACGGAGGAAGGUGGGGAUGACGUCAAGUCAUCAUGCCCCUUAUGUCUUGGGCUUCACGCAUGCUACAAUGGCCGGUACAAAGGGCUGCGAUACCGCGAGGUGGAGCGAAUACCCAAAAAGCCGGUCUCAGUUCGGAGUUGGGU
rnacentral:rRNA from 1 species